AUACGUAGGGGCCAAACGUUGUCCGGAUUUAUUGGGCGUAAAGGGCUCGUAGGCGGUUCAACAAGUCGGUCGUGAAAACCCGGGGCUCAACCCCGGGACGCCGGUCGAAACUGUUGUGACUAGGGUCCGGUAGAGGUGAGUGGAAUUCUCGGUGUAGCGGUGGAAUGCGCAGAUAUCGAGAGGAACACCAGUAGCGAAGGCGGCUCACUGGGCCGGUACCGACGCUGAGGAGCGAAAGCAUGGGGAGCAAACAGGAUUAGAAACCCGAGUAGUCC
rnacentral:rRNA from 1 species